UACGUAGGGUGCGAGCGUUAAUCGGAAUUACUGGGCGUAAAGCGUGCGCAGGCGGUUGUGCAAGACAGAUGUGAAAUCCCCGGGCUUAACCUGGGAACUGCCUUUGAUACAGCACGUCUUGAGUCCGGAAGAGGUGGGUGGAAUUCCUAGUGUAGAGGUGAAAUUCGUAGAUAUUAGGAAGAGCACCGGUGGCGAAGGCGGCCCACUGGUCCGGUACUGACGCUGAGGUGCGAAAGCGUGGGGAGCAAACAGG
rnacentral:rRNA from 1 species